CUAACUAGGAUUCCCUCAGUAGCGGCGAGCGAACAGGGAAGAGCCCAGCACCGAAUCCCGUGGUCUUCCGGCCGCAGGGAAAUGUGGUGUUUAGAAGCGUCCGUUAUCCCGGCGUUAUGCGUUGCGUCCAAGUCCAUCUUGAACGGGGCCACUACCCAUAGAGGGUGCCAGGCCCGUAGCGACCGACGCUGAUGUCGGGAGGGUGUCUUCUGAGAGUCGGGUUGCUUGAGAGUGCAGCCCUAAGUGGGUGGUAAACUCCAUCUAAGGCUAAAUAUAACCACGAGACCGAUAGCGAACAAGUACCGUGAGGGAAAGUUGAAAAGAACUUUGAAGAGAGAGUUCAAUAGUACGUGAAACCGUUCAGGGGUAAACCUGAGAAACCCGAAAGAUCGAAGAGGGAGAUUCAUUCGCGUUUCGGCGUGCGGCUGCGUGUUUUGUGUGCGACAAAUGGCGUUCGCGUCGUUUGCGCCCUUGACUCGUAUCGUCGUCGUCGAACGCGUGCACUUCUCCCUUAGUAGGUCGUCGCGAUCCGUUGGGUGUCGGUCUAAGGCCCGUGGUGGAGUCCAUACGUGCGGUUUCCGUUGCGUGUGGACCCGCGGUGUUUYCCGGCCGACUCGCUCGACGGUAUAACUAAGGCGCGGGGCCGCGAUUUUCGCGUCCGGCGCGUGGCAAGCGCUCUCGCUGUGUUGAUUUUCGGACCUAGUGCCGGGGUUGGCCGCGAGUGGCUGUUCGCUGCGUAGCUCUCGGACAGACCUCGAUUACGCCUAUCUGCGACGCUAUAGCUUUGGGUACUUUCAGGACCCGUCUUGAAACACGGACCAAGGAGUCUAGCAUGUGCGCGAGUCAUUGGGACAUAACUAAACCUAAAGGCGCAAUUAAUGUGAAGGUUCGCCUAGCGCGGACCGAGGGAAGAUGGGUGGUCCUUAGUGGCCGCCCCGCAUUCCCGGGGCGUCUCGUUCUCAUUGCGAGAAGAGGCGCACCAAGAGCGUACACGCUGGGACCCGAAAGAUGGUGAACUAUGCCUGGUCAGGACGAAGUCAGGGGAAACCCUGAUGGAGGUCCGUAGCGAUUCUGACGUGCAAAUCGAUCGUCGGAACUGGGUAUAGGGGCGAAAGACUAAUCGAACCAUCUAGUAGCUGGUUCCCUCCGAAGUUUCCCUCAGGAUAGCUGGCGCUCGUUGCGUACGAGUCUCAUCCGGUAAAGCGAAUGAUUAGAGGCCUUGGGGUCGAAACGACCUCAACCUAUUCUCAAACUUUAAAUGGGUGAGAUCUCCGGCUUGCUUGAACAUGAAGCCGCGAGAAUUAUGGAUCAGAGUGCCAAGUGGGCCAUUUUUGGUAAGCAGAACUGGCGCUGUGGGAUGAACCAAACGCCGAGUUAAAGCGCCUAAAUCGACGCUUAUGGGAUACCAUGAAAGGCGUUGGUAACUUAAGACAGCAGGACGGUGGCCAUGGAAGUCGGAAUCCGCCAAGGAGUGUGUAACAACUCACCUGCCGAAGUUACUAGCCCUGAAAAUGGAUGGCGCUGAAGCGUCGUGCUUAUACUCGGCCGUCAGCGGCAUGUGCGGUCGGCACUUGUGUCGGCCAUGAAGCCCUGACGAGUAGGAGGGUCGCGGCGGUGUGCGCAGAAGGACUGGCCGUGAGGCCGUCUGGAGCCGCCGUCGGUGCAGAUCUUGGUGGUAGUAGCAAAUACUCCAGCGAGGCCCUGGAGGACUGACGUGGAGAAGGGUUUCGUGUGAACAGCCGUUGCACACGAGUCAGUCGAUCCUAAGCCCUAGGCGAAAGCCGAUGUUGAUGUGGUGUUGUUUGUACUAAGCUUAUAGUCGAUGUGCUCACACCCAUCGGGCGAAAGGGAAUCCGGUUCCUAUUCCGGAACCCGGCAGCGGAACCGUCACCAAUUCGUGCCCUCGAAAGAGAGUUCGUCGGGGCAACCCAAAAGGACCCGGAGACGCCGUCGGGAGAUCCAGGAAGAGUUUUCUUUUCUGCAUGAGCGUUCGAGUUCCAUGGAAUCCUCUAGCAGGGAGAUAUGGUUUGGAACGCGAAGAGCACCGCAGUUGCGGCGGUGUCUGGAUCUUCCCCUCGGACCUUGAAAAUCCGGGAGAGGGCCACGUGGAGGCAUCGCGCCGGCUCGUACCCAUAUCCGCAGCAGGUCUCCAAGGU
rnacentral:rRNA from 1 species